AUUUGAAGUCAAAGUAUCCUAUAUUUGUUUAUGUUAGUGACAAUACCAAGGUUCAGGUUUUCAGGUGAAUUACCCGGUGCAGUUAAUUUAUAUUAUUUGAGAAAAAUAACGGUACUUGAAAUUUGUUACGUGUAAUAUCAAAUACCAUAUACUAGAGCACCAUAAAUGUGAUGUUACAUGCCUUUGAAGUUUGGCAAGUACUCACUAAAAAAUGUGACUAUAUAUGCACAAAUUCAAGUGUGGCUUUGAUUUUUCAUUUUUAUUAUUCAGUGUUUAAUUAUGCUGGUGCUAUGUUUUGUUUGAGAAAUCGUGAACUUUCCUGUCACAGCUCGUGCCUGCACAAAAAAGAACACCUAAAUCUGUGGCAUGCCUUGGUGUUACGUACAGUGGAAGGAAGCAUUGUGCAUUCAAUAAAUAUUGAAAACCUAAAAAAGUUGUUGAUAUUGACAGUGUAUCUAUUGGAUAGUGUUUGAAAAACUAUGUGAAGGAGACAGUAAGGUAUUUCAGAAUUCUAAUCUAUUGUACUUUGGAGUACUAAUAUCAGGUUUAGAUCUGAAGAAAGAUGAUAAGUAACAGAAGUGAAAUAUCUGUCAUUUAUUGUUAAGACUACAGUAUGUAUUAUAUUUUGUAAUAAAAAAUUGAAGAUGAUUUUAAA